ACUAGUUUCUGAUACUGGUGACCUGGGUUCGAUUCCCAGCAGGACCUUUCUUUUUUGUGCUAUGUCAAACCG